rnacentral:rRNA from 1 species
UACGGGGGGGGCAAGCGUUGUUCGGAAUUACUGGGCGUAAAGCGUGCGCAGGCGGUUCGUGAUGUCUGGUGUGAAAGCCCCGGGCUUAACCUGGGAAUUGCAUUGGAAACUAGCGGGCUGGAGUGUGGCAGAGGGGGGUGGAAUUCCACGUGUAGCAGUGAAAUGCGUAGAGAUGUGGAGGAACACCGAUGGCGAAGGCAGCCUCCUGGGCCAACACUGACGCUCAUGCACGAAAGCGUGGGGAGCAAACAGG